rnacentral:rRNA from 1 species
UACGUAGGGGGCAAGCGUUGUCCGGAAUCAUUGGGCGUAAAGCGCGUGUAGGCGGUCCGGUAAGUCGGUUGUGAAAGUCCAGGGCUCAACCCUGGGAUGCCGAUCGAUACUGCCGGACUAGAGUCCGGAAGAGGCGAGUGGAAUUCCCGGUGUAGCGGUGAAAUGCGCAGAUAUCGGGAGGAACACCAAUGGCGAAGGCAGCUCGCUGGGACGGUACUGGACGCUGAGACGCGAAAGCGUGGG